AACACUCAGGAUCUAGAACCUCAUGGAAAAUAAUUAUGAUCUCGCUAAAGAGCUAGAGAUGGAGAAAGAGAAGGAAAAGAAACUGAAGGAAUUUGUAAUUGAAAAUAAGUUAGACAAAAAGUGGUGGAAUAUUCCUGUGGAAGGCUUGAGUAUCGAGGGGUUAAAGCAGAGGCACCAAGCGUUUGUACAUUUGUCUUCUUGCUUAUUCGGUAAGGAUUCACACUGGUUAGGAAAAGACGGUGGUGGUUCAUCUUCUGAUCCUGCGGGACGUGGACAUUGUGAUGAUGGCAAACCUAAACCAUGUGAAUAAACUUGAUUUAAUGUUUUCAUAUUUUAAUUAAUGUUGUUGUCUUUAUAUAUUUAGUUAUGGGAUUGGUGAUAUGAGAUUCCGAAAAAAAAUUGGUAAUUUGUAUCAUGAAUUAUAUAAUUAAAGUAAACUAUUAAGCCAACGUUGAAACUUAUCCAUAAUAUUUUGUGUUACAAGAUAUCAUUUUUAUAUAUUUAUUAAAUAUUUAAGUUUUUUAUAAGGUUCUCUAGAUUAAAUUAUAUUUUGGAUUUGCCUUUUUCUGCAAGUACGGACACAAGUUUUUUAUUUUAUGUUAUGAUGUUCAAUGAACUCAUAAGAUCGUAGUUGACCAAUGUUUUUCUUGCAUGCCAAAUGCUUAUACAGAUUCACUAAUAGAGCAUUACAUAUCCUUUCAUUUAGUAAUGUAUUAUUUUGGUAAAUUACAACAAUAAGAGAAUGCAAUGGAAGGGGGAAUUAGACUAUUAUUCUAUAAUGAUAUAAUAUUCGUAAAAUGAUUUAUUUGCUGUUUGUGUAUUUAACAAUGACAAGUAUAACAUUUACUGAUCAGCAAACAAAGUGCUAUGUGCUUGUAUAGUUUAAAAGUCUGAGUCAUGCUCGUACAUUAGCCAUGUAUGCAUAAUGCAUCUUAUUUAUAUGUGGCAUUACAUAGUGGGUAUUUUUUAGAAUUCUAAAGGGGGAAUUUGACUAUUAUUCUAUAAUGAUUUAUAAUGACUAAAUUACAACAAUGAGAGAAUGCAAUGUAAGGGGAAGGUAGACUAUUAUUCUAUAAUGAUAUAAUAUUCGUAAUGAUAGAAUAUACUAUAAUGAUAUAAUAUUCAAAGGAAAUGAGAUUUAGAUUAUUAUUCUGUAAUGAUAAAAUGUUCGUAAAAUGAUUUAUUUGUUGUUCCUGUAUUGAACAACAACCAAUCUAACAGUGACUGAUCAGCAAAAAAAUUGCCUUUUGCUUGUAUGGUUUAAAAGUCUGAGUCAUGCUUGUACAUUAGCCAUGUAUGCAUAAUGCAUCUUAUAAUAUGUGGCAUUACAUAUUGGGUAUUUUUUAGAAUUCUAAAGGGAGAAUUAAACUAUUAUUCUAUAAUGAUUUAUAAUGACUAAAUUACAACAAUGAGAGAAUGCAAUGGAAGGGAAAAUUAGACUAUUAUUCUAUAUUGAUAUAAUAUUCGAAAUGAUAAAAUAUUCUAUGAUGAUAUAAUAUUCAAAGGAAAGGAGAUUGAGACUAUUAUUCUAUAAUGGUAGAAUAUUCGUAAAAUGAUUUAUUUAUUGUUUCUGUAUUGAGCAACGACCAAUCUAACAGUGACAGAUCAGCAAUAGAAGUGCAUUUUCGUUGUAUGGUUUAAAAGUUUGAGUUAUGCUCGUACAUUAAUCAUUUUUGCAUACACGCAUCUUAUUUAUAUGUGGCAUUAUAUAUGUGAAAAAUAUUAUUUUAAGCUCUUUUGCAUCUAGAUAUAUUCCUUUUGGGAUAUAGAAAGAAGUAUACGCUAUAAUUAACCUAAAAAGCAGAUUAAAAAGGUUGUGAUGUUCAAAACUUUCUAGGAAAGGUUGGUGGCUAGUUACCAAAUAAAAAAAAACAUAAGAAAGAUGAAAUUAAAGAUUACAUAUAUACGAAACGAACUAAAAUAAAUCCCUUAGAUAAAAAAUGAUUAGUUUUCGGUCUAUGAGAUUUUUAAUAUCAACGAAAAAAUUUCAGCCAGUAGAUACUUAAAAACCUCCACAUUAUAACACUUCGCAAACUCUUCUCAUCUUUUUAACACCAAAAAGAUUUAAACGCAUAAAUAUUUUUUUCGUCAUAGACGUUUUCUAUUUGUUUUGGUUGGUAUCUCUCACUAGCUCAUCUCCUGGACCACAAUAUCAAUGACGCUAUCACUAAUCCGUCGAUUCAUCGUCUUCAUACUGUUCUUACUCAUCAAAGAUGUACUAUAUUCAUCUCUUCCUAUUCACUUCUCAGUCUUCAACAAACCAGUACUACUCUGUCAUAAAACCUUGUUCCUUAAUUUAAGAAUGCAUGAACCUCUUUUGAUUUCCACACAUUUUUUUCUUUAUUUAUCCCACAAUUUUCUUGCUUCUUACUGAGUAUUUAAAUUUUAUUGUCUCACUGUAUGUGAUUUUAUGUUUAAUCUGAAAUUACAUAUUCAUGAUUUUUAAAAUUAUGUGUAUGUGUGUUUAUUUGAUUGGCACCACUCUAAAGUUCAAAAAUAUAAACGAAAAUAUAAAAAAUGCGAUGAAAUUUAUAAAUGAUAAUCUUUAAUUCAUUAAAAUCAUACGAAAUAACUCUCACAGAUUUAUUUUUUAAUUUUAAAUCAUAAAUCAGUUGAUAUUUAAGUUAUAUAGAAAUAACAAUAUAUAUUUUGAGUUUGACAAAUUCUCAUUGUAUUAAAAUUGUAAAUAUGCUCUUACAAUUUUCACUAAUUGAAUUACCAAUUUUCCAUAGUAAUUUAUUGACUAUAACUUUACAAUAAUGACUAAAGAGUUUCUAUAUAUAUUAAAGUAACUGACAGUUUACCAGUCAAAUAUGUAAAUUAGUCAAAAUACUCUUUUCAUGAACAUUAAAUGUCUAAAAACAAUGUACCAUCCUUCCAUAUAUCUCUUUUUACCUAUAUAUAUUUAUGUAUUGGGGACCCUGAUGGUUUCAUUUCACCUACCAAAAAUAAAACACUCAGGAUCUAGAACCUCAUGGAAAAGAAUUAUGAUCUCGCUAAGGAGCUAGAGAUGGAGAAAGAGAAGGAAAAGAAACUGAAGGAAUUUGUAAUUGAAAAUAAGUUAGACAAAAAAUGGUGGAAUAUUCAUGUGGAAGGCUUGAGUAUCGAGGAGUUAAAGCAGAGGCACCAAGCGUUUGUACAUUUGUCUUCUUGCUUAUUCGGUAAAGAUUCACACUGGUUGGGAAAAGACGGUGGUGGUUCAUUUUCGGAUCCUGCGGGACGUGGACAUUGUGAUGAUGGCAAACCUAAACCCUGUGAAUAAACUUGAUUUAAUGUUUUCAUAUUUUAAUUAAUGUUGUUGUCUUUAUAUAUUUAGUUAUGGGAUUGGUGAUAUCAGAUUCUGAAAAAAAGAUUGGUAAUUUGUAUCAUGAAUUAUAUAAUUAAAGUAAACUAUUAAUCCAACGUUGAAACUUAUCCAUAAUAUUUUGUGUUACAAGAUAUCAUUUUUAUAUAUUUAUUAAAUAUUUAAGUUUUUUAUAAGGUUCUCUAGAUUAAAUUAUAUUUUGGAUUUCCCUUUUUCUGCAAGUACGGACACAAGUUUUUUAUUUUAUGUUAUGAUGUUCAAUGAACUCAGAAGAUCGUAAAUGACCAAUAGUUUUCUUGCAUGCCAAAUGCUUAUACAGAUUCACUAAUAGAGCAUUACAUAUCCUUUCAUUUAGUAAUGUAUUAUUUUGGUAAAUUACAACAAUGAGAGAAUGCAAUGGAAGGGGGAAUUAGACUAUUAUUCUAUAAUGAUAUAAUAUUCGUAAAAUGAUUUAUUUGCUGUUUGUGUAUUUAACAAUGACAAGUAUAACAGUGACUGAUCAGCAAACGAAGUGCUCUGUGCUUGUAUAGUUUAAAAGUCUGAGUCAUGUUCGUACAUUAGCCAUGUAUGCAUAAUGCAUCUUAUUUAUAUGUGGUAUUACAUAGUGGGUAUUUUUUAGAAUUCUAAAGGGGGAAUUAGACUAUUAUUCUAUAAUGAUUUAUAAUGACUAAAUUACAACAAUGAGAGAAUGCAAUGUAAGGGUGAAUUAGACUAUUAUUCUAUAAUGAUAUAAUAUUCGUAAUGAUAGAAUAUUCUAUAAUGAUAUAAUAUUCAAAGGAAAUGAGAUUUAUAUUAUUAUUCUGUAAUGGUAGAAUGUUCGUAAAAUGAUUUAUUUGUUGUUUCUGUAUUGAACAACGACCAAUCUAACAGUGACAGAUCAGCAAAAGAAGUGCAUUUUCGUUGUAUGGUUUAAAAGUUUGAGUUAUGCUCGUACAUUAAUCAUUUAUGCAUACAUGCAUCUUAUUUAUAUGUGGCAUUAUAUAUGUGAAAAUAUUAUUUUAAGCUCUUUUGCAUCUAGAUAUAUUCCUUUUGGGAUAUAGAAAUAAGUAUACGCUAUAAUUAACCUAAAAAGCAGAUUAAAAAAGUUGUGAUGUUCAAAACUUUCUAGGAAAGGUUGGUGGCUAGUUACCAAAUAAAUAAAAAAAAUAAGAAAGAUGAAAUUAAAGAUUUCAUAUAUACGAAACGAACUAAAAUAAAUCCCUUAGAUAAAAAAAGAUUAAUUUUCGGGUCUAUGAGAUUUUUAAUAUCAACGAAAAAAUUUCAGCCAGUAGAUACUUAAAAACCUCCACAUUAUAACACUUCGCAAACUCUUCUCAUCUUUUUAACACCAAAAAGAUUUAAACGCAUAAAUAUUUUUUUAAUCAUAGAGGUUUUCUAUUUGUUUUGGUUGGUAUCUCUCACUAGCUCAUCUCCUGGACCACAAUAUCAAUGACGCUAUCACUAAUCCGUCGAUUCAUCGUCUUCAUACUGUUCUUACUCAUCAAAGAUGUACUAUAUUCAUCUCUUCCUAUUCACUUCUCAGUCUUCAACAAACCAGUACUACUCUGUCAUAAAACCUUGUUCCUUAAUUUAAGAAUGCAUGAACCUCUUUUGAUUUCCUCACAUUUUUUCUUUAUUUAUCCCACAAUUUUCUUGCUUCUUACUGAGUAUUUAAAUUUUAUCUUCUCACUGUAUGUGAUUUUAUGUUUAAUCUGGAAUUACAUAUUCAUGAUUUUUAAAAUUCGAUGUAUGUGUGUUGAUUUGAUUGGCACCACUCAAAAUUUCAAAAAUAUAAACGAAAAUAAAAAAAAAUGCGAUGAAAUUUGUAAAUGAUAAUCUUUAAUUCAUUAAAAUCCUACGAAAUAAUUCUCUCACAGAUUUAUUUUUUAAUUUUAAAUCAUAAAUCAGUUGAUAUUUAAGUUAUAUAGAAAUAACAAUAUAUAUUUUGAGUUUGACAAAUUCUCAUUGUAUUAAAAUUGUAAAAAUGCUCGUACAAUUUUCACCAAUUGACUUACCAAUUUUCCAUAGUAAUUUAUUGACUAUAACUUUACAAUAAUGACUAAAGAGUUUCUAUAUAUAUUAAAGUGACUGCCAGUUUACCAGUCAAAUAUGUAAAUUAGUCAAAAUACUCUUUUCGUGAACAUUAAAUGUCUAAAAACAAUGUACCAUCCUUCCAUAUAUCUCUUUUUACCUAUAUAUAUAUAUAUGUAUUGGGGACCUUGAUGGUUUCAUUUCACCUACCAAAAAUAAAACACUCAGGAUCUAGAACCUCAUGGAAAAGAGUUAUGAUCUCGCUAAGGAGGUAGACAUGGAGAAAGAGAAGGAAAAGAAACUGAAGGAAUUUGUAAUUGAAAAUAAGUUAGACAAAAAGUGGUGGAAUAUUCCUGUGGAAGGCUUGAGUAUCGAGGAAUUAAAGCAAAGGCACCAAGCGUUUGUACAUUUGUCUUCUUGCUUAUUCGGUAAGGAUUCACACUGGUUUGGAAAAGACGGUGGUGGUUCAUCUUCGGAUCCUGCGGGACGUGGACAUUGUGAUGAUGGCAAACCUAAACCAUGUGAAUAAACUUGAUUUAAUGUUUUCAUAUUUUAAUUAAUGUUGUUGUCUUUAUAUAUUUAGUUAUGGGAUUGGUGAUAUGAGAUUCCGAAAAAAAGAUUGGUAAUUUGUAUCAUGAAUUAUAUAAUUAAAGUAAACUAUUAAUCCAACGUUGAAACUUAUCCAUAAUAUUUUGUGUUACAAGAUAUCAUUUUUAUAUAUUUAUUAAAUAUUUAAGUUUUUUAUAAGGUUCUCUAGAUUAAAUUAUAUUUUGGAUUUCCCUUUUUCUGCAAGUACGGACACAAGUUUUUUAUUUUAUGUUAUGAUGUUCAAUGAACUCAAAAGAUCGUAGUUGACCAAUGUUUUUCUUGCAUGCCAAAUGCUUAUACAGUAUCACUAAUAGAGCAUUACAUAUACCUUCAUUUAGUAAUGUAUUUUUUGGUAAAUUACAACAAUGAGAGAAUGCAAUGGAAGGAGGAAUUAGACUAUUAUUCUAUAAUGAUAUAAUAUUCGUAAAAUGAUUUAUUUGCUGUUUGUGUAUUUAACAAUGACAAGUAUAACAGUGACUGAUCAGCAAACGAUGUGCUUUGUGCUUGUAUAGUUUAAAAGUCUGAGUCAUGUUCGUACAUUAGCCAUGUAUGCAUAAUGUAUCUUAGUUAUAUGUGGCAUUAUAUAGUGGGUAUUUUUUAUAAUUCUAAAGGGGGAAUUAGACUAUUAUUCUAUAAUGAUUUAUAAUGACUAAAUUACAACAAUGAGAGAAUGCAAUGUAAAGGUGAAUUAGACUAUUAUUCUAUAACGAUAUAAUAUUCGUAAUGAUAGAAUAUUCUAUAAUGAUAUAAUAUUCAAAGGAAAUGAGAUUUAUAUUAUUAUUCUGUGAUGGUAGAAUGUUCGUAAAAUGAUUUAUUUGUUGUUUCUGUAUUGAACAAUGACCAAUCUAACAGUGACAGAUCAGCAAAAGAAGUGCAUUUUUGUUGUAUGGUUUAAAAGUUUGAGUUAUACUCGUACAUUAAUCAUUUAUGCAUACAUGCAUCUUAUUUAUAUGUGGCAUUAUAUAUGUGAAAAUAUUAUUUUAAGCUCUUUUGCAUCUAGAUAUAUUCCUUUUGGGAUAUAGAAAUAAGUAUACGCUAUAAUUAACCUAAAAAGCAGAUUAAAAAGGUUGUGAUGUUCUAAACUUUCUAGGAAAGGUUGGUGGCUAGUUACCAAAUAAAUAAAAAAACAUAAGAAAGAUGAAAUUAAAGAUUCCAUAUAAACGAAACGAACUAAAAUAAAUCCCUUAGAUAAAAAAGGAUUAGUUUUCGGGUCUAUGAGAUUUUUAAUAUCAACGAAAAAAUUUCAGCCAGUAGAUACUUAAAAACCUCCACAUUAUAACACUUCGCAAGCUCUUCUCAUCUUUUUAACACCAAAAAGAUUUAAACGCAUAAAUAUUUUUUUCGUCAUAGACGUUUUCUAUUUGUUUUGGUUGGUAUCUCUCACUAGCUCAUCUCCUGGACCACAAUAUCAAUGACCCUAUCACUAAUCCGUCGAUUCAUCGUCUUCAUACUGUUCUUACUCAUCAAAGAUGUACUAUAUUCAUCUCUUCCUAUUCACUUCUCAGUCUUCAACAAACCAGUACUACUCUGUCAUAAAACCUUGUUCCUUAAUUUAAGAAUGCAUGAACCUCUUUUGAUUCCCUCACAUUUUUUUCUUUAUUUAUCCCACAAUUUUCUUGCUUCUUACUGAGUAUUUAAAUUUUAUCGUCUCACUGUAUGUGAUUUUAUGUUUAAUCUGGAAUUACAUAUUCAUGAUUUUUAAAAUUCUGUGUAUGUGUGUUGAUUUGAUUGGCACCACUCAAAAGUUCAAAAAUAUAAACGAAAAAAAAAAAAUGCGAUGAAAUUUAUAAAUGAUAAUCUUUAAUUCAUUAAAAUCCUACGAAAUAAUUCUCUCACAGAUUUAUUUUUUAAUUUUAAAUCAUAAAUCAGUUGAUAUUUAAGUUAUAUAGAAUUAACAAUAUAUAUUUUGAGUUUGACAAAUUCUCAUUGUAUUAAAAUUGUAAAUAUGCUCUUACAAUUUUCACCAAUAGAAUUACCAAUUUUCCAUAGUAAUUUAUUGACUAUAACUUUACAAUAAUGACUAAAGAGUUUAUAUAUAUAUUAAAGUGACUGCCAGUUUACCAGUCAAAUAUGUAAAUUAGUCAAAAUACUCUUUUCAUGAACAUUAAAUGUCUAAAAACAAUGUACCUUCCUUCCAUAUAUCUCUUUUUACCUCUAUAUAUAUAUGUAUUGGGGACCCUGAUGGUUUCAUUUCACCUACCAAAAAUAAAACACUCAGGAUCUAGAACCUCAUGGAAAAGAAUUAUGAUCUCGCUAAGGAGCUAGAGAUGGAGAAAGAGAAGGAAAAGAAACUGAAGGAAUUUGUAAUUGAAAAUAAGUUAGACAAAAAGUGGUGGAAUAUUCCUGUGGAAGGCUUGAGUAUCGAGGAGUUAAAGCAGAGGCACCAAGCGUUUGUACAUUUGUCUUCUUGCUUAUUCGGUAAGGAUUCACACUGGUUGGGAAAAGACGGUGGUGGUUCAUCUUCUGAUCCUGCGGGACGUGGACAUUGUGAUGAUGGCAAACCUAAACCAUGUGAAUAAACUUGAUUUAAUGUUUUCAUAUUUUAAUUAAUGUUGUUGUCUUUAUAUAUUUAGUUAUGGG
rnacentral:lncRNA from 1 species